rnacentral:rRNA from 1 species
GCCAGACUCCUACGGGAGGCAGCAGUGGGGAAUAUUGCACAAUGGGGGAAACCCUGAUGCAGCGACGCCGCGUGAGUGAAGAAGUAUUUCGGUAUGUAAAGCUCUAUCAGCAGGAACGAGACAAGACGGUACCUGACUAAGAAGCCCCGGCUAACUACGUGCCAGCAGCCGCGGUAAUACGUAGGGGGCAAGCGUUAUCCGGAAUCACUGGGUGUAAAGGGAGCGUAGACGGCUGAGCAAGCCUGAAGUGAAAGGCGGGGGCCCAACCCCCGGACUGCUUUGGGAACUGUACGGCUGGAGUGCAGGAGAGGUAAGUGGAAUUCCUAGUGUAGCGGUGAAAUGCGUAGAUAUUAGGAGGAACACCAGUGGCGAAGGCGGCCUACUGGACGGUGACUGACGCUGAGGCUCGAAAGCGUGGGGAGCAAACAGGAUUAGAUACCCGUGUA